rnacentral:rRNA from 1 species
CAGUAGCCACGGUAAUACGAAGGGUGCAAGCGUUAAUCGGAAUUACUGGGCGUAAAGCGUGCGUAGGCGGUGAGUUAAGUCUGCUGUGAAAUCCCCGGGCUCAACCUGGGAAUGGCAGUGGAUACUGGCUCGCUAGAGUGUGUCAGAGGAUGGUGGAAUUCCGGGUGUAGCGGUGAAAUGCGUAGAGAUCGGGAGGAACAUCAGUGGCGAAGGCGGCCAUCUGGGACAACACUGACACUGAGGCACGAAAGCGUGGGGAGCAAACAGGAUUAGAUACCCGCGUAGUCCCUGUCUCUUAUAC